rnacentral:rRNA from 1 species
AUUGAACGCUGGCGGCAGGCCUAACACAUGCAAGUCGAACGGUAGCACAGAGAGCUUGCUCUCGGGUGACGAGUGGCGGACGGGUGAGUAAUGUCUGGGAAACUGCCCGAUGGAGGGGGAUAACUACUGGAAACGGUAGCUAAUACCGCAUAACGUCGCAAGACCAAAGUGGGGGACCUUCGGGCCUCACACCAUCGGAUGUGCCCAGAUGGGAUUAUCUAGUGGGUGGGGUAAUGGCUCACCUAGGCGACGAUCCCUAGCUGGUCUGAGAGGAUGACCAGCCACACUGGAACUGAGACACGGUCCAGACUCCUACGGGAGGCAGCAGUGGGGAAUAUUGCACAAUGGGCGCAAGCCUGAUGCAGCCAUGCCGCGUGUAUGAAGAAGGCCUUCGGGUUGUAAAGUACUUUCAGCGGGGAGGAAGGCGGUGAAGUUAAUAGCUUCACCGAUUGACGUUACCCGCAGAAGAAGCACCGGCUAACUCCGUGCCAGCCGCCGCCGUAA